AAACUUGAGAGUUUGAUCCUGGCUCAGAAUGAACGCUGGCGGCGUGCCUAACACAUGCAAGUCGGAUGUGCCCGGCAACGGGUGCAUGGCAGACGGGUGAGUAACGCGUGGGGAAUCUACCUUUUAGUGGGGAAUAACGCUCCGAAAGGAGUGGUAAUACCGCAUGAGACCAUUGGCUGGGAUGUUGAUGGUGAAACCCUGGGACCUUCGGG
rnacentral:rRNA from 1 species